AGCAAAAGAGAAGGCCAUGUUAUGCCCAUCGUCACAUAUAGUAUUAAAAUAAAAAAUAAAAAUAUACCGAAGAAAUAAUAUCAAAACCCCAAAUUGUAAAACCUAUUUCACUCAGUUCUCACCCAUUCCGGUUGUCUUCAGCUCCCCUUUGCUUACUCUUUCACCCCAACUCCGACGACCAACCACUGGUGGUUGCCAGCGACUGCAACAACCACUCUCCUUCGUCUUCCUUUCUCGGUUGCUCUCUCAGUAUCAUCUGCUGCUCGUUCUCUAACUCUCUCCUCUCUCUGACAUAGCAAGACCCAAAUUAGGGAAAGAGAGAUUCGGUUUUCUAUCGAGUUCUUCAGGUGACAAUAAGGUACUUGCCUCUAGCAGCCCUCUGCUUGUACAUCCGCACUCUGCAGCCUUUAAUUUGGGAUGUUUUCAAGCAAAAUUUAUAUAAUCGUAAGAAAUAAAAGUAUUACCACAAGGGAGGGGCAAAACCAUUUCAUCCAACAUGCAAGGAAUGCUCACAAGGUAAUGAAAUUAAAGUACAUAUAAAACUCAUUGUGUAAUUUAGAUAGGCUCGUCUGUUAUGUUUUGUUCUUCUUACUGUAACUAUUUCUUCAAUUCUUAUUUUCUUUUCUUUUGUUGUUAUUCAAAUCUCAAUGCACCUGCUAUUCUCUAGACACCAAUGUUUAUUUUUUUUCUCUUUUAUUAUGUAAGGAUAAGAUGAAGAAAAAGAAGGAUGGUAUUAAAGAAGAAAGUAUUAAAGAAGCACCUGAGAUAGUGAUGGUGAUCUUUCAAAUGACAAUGAUACUUGUGUUGAAGUAAAGACUAUGAUAUGGCUAAUGACUUAUAUUAUGUAUUUUGUUGUUGGUUUCAAACAUGCACACGGUAUACUUGUUUUGUUACCAACUCAAUGCCUUAGAAUCUUGUUAGCAUCUCAAUAUGUUUAGAGGUGUUAGGAUGCUUAUAGCUUUUGGGAUAUACACUUAGUGUAUAUAUUGGAUGUAGCCUAACUUAUUGAUCAAUGAAAUGUGAUUAACCAAA